rnacentral:rRNA from 1 species
AACGAACGCUGGCGGCGCGUCUUAAGCAUGCAAGUCGAGCGGCAAGGUAGCAAUACCCUAGAGCGGCGGACUGGUGAGUAACACGUGGGUGAUCUACCUUUGGGUUGGGGAUAGCCAUUAGAAAUAGUGGGUAAUACCGAAUGUGGUUGCGAGGUUAUGACCUUGCAAAGAAAGGAGCUACGGCUCCGCCCGGAGAUGAGCUCGCGCCCCAUUAGCUAGUUGGUGAGGUAAAGGCCCACCAAGGCGAUGAUGGGUAGCCGGACUGAGAGGUUGAACGGCCACAUUGGGACUGAGAUACGGCCCAAACUCCUACGGGAGGCAG